GACGAACCGUGCGAACGUUGUUCGGAAUCACUGGGCUUAAAGGGCGCGUAGGCGGACCACCCAGUCCGGGGUGAAAUCUUUCGGCUCAACCGGAAAAGGGCCUUGGAUACUGGUGGUCUGGAGGAAGGUAGGGGCAUGCGGAACUUCCGGUGGAGCGGUGAAAUGCGUUGAUAUCGGAAGGAACGCCGGUGGCGAAAGCGGCGUGCUGGACCUUUCUGACGCUGAUGCGCGAAAGCCAGGGGAGCGAACGGG
rnacentral:rRNA from 1 species